rnacentral:rRNA from 1 species
AAAAAGCCAAUGCAUGCUUUUACAGUAUGAAAAUUGGUGAUUUAUAAUAACUUAGCAAAUCGCAAAGUGAAAACAGGCGAUAAAUCAUUCAAGUUUCUGACCUAUCAGCUUUCGACGGUAUGGUAUUGGCUUACCGUGGCAGUGACGGUUAACGGGGGAUUAGGGUUCGAUUCCGGAGAGGGAGCCUGAGAAACGGCUACCACAUCUAAGGAAGGCAGCAGGCGCGCAAAUUACCCAAUUCUAACAGUUUGAGAGAGGUAGUAACAAGAAAUAACAAUACAAGGCAGUUAAAAUGCUUUGUAAUUGGAAUGAUAGAAAUUUAAACCCUUUUUAAAGUAUCAAUUGGAGGGCAAGUCUGGUGCCAGCAGCCGCGGUAAUUCCAGCUCCAAUAGCGUAUAUUAAAAUUGUUGCAGUUAAAAAGCUCGUAGUUGAAGUUCUGCUAAAAGUAACCGGUCUGCUUUGAAUAAAAGUGGUAUCUUGGUAUGUAUUUAGCAAUGAUGUCCUUUGAAGUGUUUUUUACUUUAUUGUA